rnacentral:rRNA from 1 species
GACGAACGCUGGCGGCGUGCUUAACACAUGCAAGUCGAGCGGUAAGGCUCCAGCUUGCUGGGGUACACGAGUGGCGAACGGGUGAGUAACACGUGGGUGACCUGCCCUGCACUUCGGGAUAAGCCUGGGAAACUGGGUCUAAUACCGGAUAGGACCGCACCGUGAGGGUGUGGUGGAAAGUUUUUUCGGUGUGGGAUGGGCCCGCGGCCUAUCAGCUUGUUGGUGGGGUAAUGGCCUACCAAGGCGGCGACGGGUAGCCGGCCUGAGAGGGUGGACGGCCACAUUGGGACUGAGACACGGCCCAGACUCCUACGGGAGGCAGCAGUGGGGAAUAUUGCACAAUGGGCGGAAGCCUGAUGCAGCGACGCCGCGUGGGGGAUGACGGCCUUCGGGUUGUAAACUCCUUUCACCAUCGACGAAGGGUUUCUGACGGUAGAUGGAGAAGAAGCACCGGCUAACUACGUG